rnacentral:rRNA from 1 species
AGUGAACGCUGGCGGUAGGCCUAACACAUGCAAGUCGAACGGCAGCACAGUAAGAGCUUGCUCUUACGGGUGGCGAGUGGCGGACGGGUGAGGAAUACAUCGGAAUCUACUUUUUCGUGGGGGAUAACGUAGGGAAACUUACGCUAAUACCGCAUACGACCUACGGGGGAAAGCAGGGGAUCUUCGGACCUUGCGCGAAUGAAUGAGCCGAUGUCGGGUUAGCUAGUUGGCGGGGUAAAGGCCCACCAAGGCGACGAUCCGUAGCUGGUCUGAGAGGAUGAUCGGCCACACUGGAACUGGGACACGGUCCAGACUCCUACGGGAGGCAGCAGUGGGGAAUAUUGGACAAUGGGCGCAAGCCUGAUCCAGCCAUACCGCGUGGGUGAAGAAGGCCUUCGGGUUGUAAAGCCCUUUUGUUGGGAAAGAAAAGCAGCAGGUUAAUACCCCGCUGUUCUGACGGUACCCAAAGAAUAAGCACCGGCUAACUUCGUG